rnacentral:rRNA from 1 species
UACGUAGGUGGCAAGCGUUGUCCGGAUUUACUGGGCGUAAAGAGCGCGCAGGCGGUCGUCCAAGUCGCGUGUGAAAGCCCCCGGCUCAACUGGGGAGGGUCACGCGAUACUGGUCGACUCGAAGGCAGGAGAGGGUAGUGGAAUUCCCGGUGUAGUGGUGAAAUGCGCAGAUAUCAGGAAGAACACCCGUGGCGAAGGCGGCUCUCUGGGACGGUACUGACGCUGAGACGCGAAAGCGUGGGGAGCGAACAGG